rnacentral:rRNA from 1 species
CAGCUCCUACGGGACGCAGCAGUGAGGAAUAUUGGUCAAUGGACGAGAGUCUGAACCAGCCAAGUCGCGUGAAGGAUGACUGCCCUAUGGGUUGUAAACUUCUUUUAUAUGGGAAUAAAGUGAGCCACGUGUGGCUUUUUGUAUGUACCAUACGAAUAAGGAUCGGCUAACUCCGUGCCAGCAGCCGCGGUAAUACGGAGGAUCCGAGCGUUAUCCGGAUUUAUUGGGUUUAAAGGGAGCGUAGGUGGACAGUUAAGUCAGUUGUGAAAGUUUGCGGCUCAACCGUAAAAUUGCAGUUGAUACUG